UACGGAGGGUGCAAGCGUUGCUCGGAAUCACUGGGCGUAAAGCGCGUGUAGGCGGUCUCGUGUGUCUGGCGUGAAAGCCCCAGGCUCACCCUGGGAAGUGCGUCGGAAACUGCGAGACUAGAGUCCCGGAGAGGAAGGUGGAAUUCCAGGUGUAGCGGUGAAAUGCGUAGAUAUCUGGAAGAACACCGGUGGCGAAAGCGGCCUUCUGGACGGUGACUGACGCUGAGACGCGAAAGCGUGGGGAGCAAACAGG
rnacentral:rRNA from 1 species